rnacentral:rRNA from 1 species
CCGGUUGAUCCUGCCGGAGGCCAUUGCUAUCGGGGUCCGAUUUAGCCAUGCUAGUUGUACGAGUUCACACUCGUAGCAAAUAGCUCCGUAACACGUGGCCAAACUACCCUACAGAGAACGAUAACCUCGGGAAACUGAGGCUAAUAGUUCAUACCCGUCCCAUGUUGGAAUACAGGGACGCGCAAACGUUCCGACGCUGUAGGACGUGGCUGCGGCCGAUUAGGUAGACGGUGGGGUAACGGCCCACCGUGCCGAUAAUCGGUACGGGUUGUGAGAGCAAGAACCCGGAGACGGAAUCUGAGACAAGAUUCCGGGCCCUACGGGGCGCAGCAGGCGCGAAACCUUUACACUGCACGCAAGUGCGAUAAGGGGACCCCGAGUGCGAGGGCAUACAGUCCUCGCUUUUCACUACCGUAAGGUGGUAGUGGAAUAAGAGCUGGGCAAGACCGGUGCCAGCCGCCGCGGUAAUACCGGCAGCUCGAGUGAUGGCCGAUCUUAUUGGGCCUAAAGCGUCCGUAGCCGGCCACACAAGUCCAUCGGGAAAUCCGCCAGCCCAACUGGCGGGCGUCCGGUGGAAACUGUGUGGCUCGGGAUCGGAAGACCCAACGGGUACGUCCGGGGUA